UACGUAGGGUGCAAGCGUUAAUCGGAAUUACUGGGCGUAAAGCGUGCGCAGGCGGUCUUGCAAGACAGGUGUGAAAUCCCCGGGCUUAACCUGGGAACUGCACUUGUGACUGCAAGGCUGGAGUACGGCAGAGGGGGAUGGAAUUCCGCGUGUAGCAGUGAAAUGCGUAGAUAUGCGGAGGAACACCGAUGGCGAAGGCAGCUCUCUGGGACGGUACUGACGCUGAGACGCGAAAGCGUGGGGAGCGAACAGG
rnacentral:rRNA from 1 species